rnacentral:rRNA from 1 species
GACGAACGCUGGCGGCGUGCUUAACACAUGCAAGUCGAACGAUGAACCAGGGCUUGCCCUGGGGAUUAGUGGCGAACGGGUGAGUAACACGUGGGCAACCUGCCCCAGACACCGGGAUAACCUCUCGAAAGAGUGGCUAAUACCGGAUACGACCACUUUGGGCAUCCAACGGUGGUGGAAAGGAUUCUGGUCUGGGAUGGGCCCGCGGCCUAUCAGCUUGUUGGUGGGGUAAUGGCCUACCAAGGCGACGACGGGUAGCCGGCCUAAGAGGGCGACCGGCCACACUGGGACUGAGACACGGACCAGACUCCUACGGGAGGCAGCAGUGGGGAAUAUUGCGCAAUGGGCGAAAGCCUGACGCAGCGACGCCGCGUGAGGGACGAAGGUCUUCGGAUUGUAAACCUCUUUCAGCAGGGACGAAGCGAAAGUGACUGUACCUGCAGAAGAAGCACCGGCUAACUACGUGCCAGCCGCCGCGGUAAAAC